rnacentral:sRNA from 1 species
AGAGCCUCAAAGAGCACCCAGCAUAACUGUGGGAGAAUAGUAAGCAUUGGACACAAAAUGGUUUAGGCAAAUAAUGAUGAACAAAAAUGGUCAGUCUGUGUUCCUGCUGACCCAGCACAGUGGGGACGCUGUGUAGGACAUGACCUUUGGGGGAAAGGACACAAGAACUCAGCGUGGGGGAUCCAGAAAAGAAGUCGCACGUAUUGAAGCCAGUAACGCCAAGCCAGUGAAUUCUCCUUGACGAGAAAGACCCACUUACUCUGCAGAAGAGAUAUAUGACAGCUGACAAUCCCUGGAGGAGAAUCUUUCUACUAAAUUGUUGAAAACAUUCAAGUACGGAAUAAACUAUUACUGCGAAUACGCUCAUAUGACACAAGAACAAUCUCUGAGCUUCUUUGAGGAUGUCCAGAUGACUGCUGACUGCACUAAUUGUAUCAAUCGUGUAUCCAUACAGGUUCUUUCUAUAAAAUAGUGGUCGCUAGUUAUGAGGCGUUAAGCCUUCAUGGAUAUAAACAGACUAUUCCACCUAAGUGAUCUGGCAGAAGCUUAGUUUUCUACCACAACGUCCACCGUCCUCCCUCCCUCCCUUCCUAGCUGGUCAGAAAAGCUACUCAGAAUAAAGACUACAUUUCCCAGCCAUCUUUGCAGCUAGGUUUAUCCACCUGACUAAAUUCCACCGUAACUCCAGGUUGAAGAACUUCUACUUAUAGGCAUCUAUUCAACGAAGACGAAUCCUGGAAUGGGGAUGGAAAUGAUGGCUCAUGUCUUAGCAAACUACCAAACUGAUCCGAGAGGACAGGGAAGUCAGUGUGGGCGGCUCUAAGGAGCCUCCCUCUCUACAGCUGCGGCUCAGAGGAUUACGGCGCUUCAUCCACAAGGCAACAUUGCACAAGUAGCUUUUGAACAAAAGUCAUGGAUACUAUUAAUGAUAUGGUAAUCCUUAAUCGAGCUACCUCCCAGUAGUGAUUAUACUGACAUGGGAAGAAUAUCUAAGUCGUGGAGGCAGCCCACAACAACACUGUGUCAUUGUUCACCCCGGGCUCGACCAGGACUAACUUUUACCAGCAUCUCUAACGUCACCUUUCCCCUGAUGCCUCCCCACAACCCCUGGCCCCAGCUCCCAUUCCCGCCCCAUCAUAGCAAAAAAGUAGCAAAGAAAACCCUGAUCCUAAA